rnacentral:rRNA from 1 species
UGGGGAAUAUUGCACAAUGGGCGCAAGCCUGAUGCAGCCAUGCCGCGUGUGUGAAGAAGGCCUUCGGGUUGUAAAGCACUUUCAGCGAGGAGGAAGGUGGUGAACUUAAUACGUUCAUCAAUUGACGUUACUCGCAGAAGAAGCACCGGCUAACUCCGUGCCAGCAGCCGCGGUAAUACGGAGGGUGCAAGCGUUAAUCGGAAUUACUGGGCGUAAAGCGCACGCAGGCGGUUUGUUAAGUCAGAUGCGAAAUCCCCGGGCUCAACCUGGGAACUGAAUUUGAAACUGGCAAGCUAGAGUCUCGUAGAGGGGGGUAGAAUUCCAGGUGUAGCGGUGAAAUGCGUAGAGAUCUGGAGGAAUACCGGUGGCGAAGGCGGCCCCCUGGACGAAGGCUGACGCUCAGGUGCGAAAGCGUGGGGAGCAAACA